rnacentral:rRNA from 1 species
UACGGGGGGAGCAAGCGUUGUUCGGAUUUACUGGGCGUAAAGGGCGCGUAGGCGGCCACCGCAAGUCGACUGUGAAAUCUCCGGGCUUAACCCGGAAAGGUCAGCCGAUACUGCGGGGCUAGAGUGCAGAAGGGGCAACUGGAAUUCUCGGUGUAGCGGUGAAAUGCGUAGAUAUCGAGAGGAACACCUGCGGCGAAGGCGGUUCUCUGGGCCUGACCUGACGCUGAGGAGCGAAAGCGUGGGGAGCGAACAGG